AGUGGCGGACGGGUGAGUAACGCGUGGUAACCUGCCUCAUACAGGGGGAUAACAGUUAGAAAUGACUGACUAACACCGCAUAAUAUAGUGAAACCGCAUGAUUUUUGCUAUCAAAUAUUUAUAGGUAUGAGAUGGGCCCGCGUCUGAUUAGCUAGUUGGUGGGUAAAAGCCUACCAAGGCGACGAUCAGUAGCCGGCUUGAGAGAGUGACCGGCCACAUUGGGACUGAGACACGGCCCAAACUCCUACGGGAGGCAGCAGUGGGGAAUAUUGGACAAUGGGGGAAACCCUGAUCCAGCGAACCGCCGCGUGAGUGAAGAAGUAUUUCGGUAUGUAAAGCUCUAUCAGCAGGGAAGAUAAUGACAGUACCUGACUAAGAAGCCCCGGCUAACUACGUGCCAGCAGCCGC
rnacentral:rRNA from 1 species